GGACCGUCGGGCACCGCCCGGCAAGGGGCGGCGGGGACUUUUAAUCCAUUGGUUGUGGGUUCGAGUCCCACAGGGCCUACC
rnacentral:tRNA from 1 species